AUUGAACGCUGGCGGCAGGCCUAACACAUGCAAGUCGAACGGUAACAGGAAGAAGCUUGCUUCUUUGCUGACGAGUGGCGGACGGGUGAGUAAUGUCUGGGAAACUGCCUGAUGGAGGGGGAUAACUACUGGAAACGGUAGCUAAUACCGCAUAACGUCGCAAGACCAAAGAGGGGGACCUUCGGGCCUCUUGCCAUCGGAUGUGCCCAGAUGGGAUUAGCUAGUAGGUGGGGUAACGGCUCACCUAGGCGACGAUCCCUAGCUGGUCUGAGAGGAUGACCAGCCACACUGGAACUGAGACACGGUCCAGACUCCUACGGGAGGCAGCAGUGGGGAAUAUUGCACAAUGGGCGCAAGCCUGAUGCAGCCAUGCCGCGUGUAUGAAGAAGGCCUUCGGGUUGUAAAGUGCUUUCAGCGGGGAGGAAGGGAGUAAAGUUAAUACCUUUGCUCAUUGACGUUACCCGCAGAAGAAGCACCGGCUAACCCCGUG
rnacentral:rRNA from 1 species